rnacentral:tRNA from 1 species
GCGCCGUUGGUGUAAGGCGAACAUCGCUGACCGGAAAGCAGAAGAUGCGGGUUCGAGUCCCGCCUGGCGCA